GGACAAUGGACUGAGUGGGUACAGGAUUCAGAAUCCAUAAGGGAUCCAGAAUGUGACUCCUGACUUCCUGUGGUCCAAGACUGAUGGGAAAACUAAUACUGCAGGAGCAGCCGAUUCGAUUUCCAUCUGCCCAGCAGGGGUUGCCUGCCAGUGAUGCCCUCUUGUGAUCUGUACAGACUAGCUAGGAAUUGUCUAUUCAGGUCAGAUGUCAGUGGGCGUCCCCAAUCCUGCUGUCCCUUGUUUCCUUUUAGCACAACCUUUCGAUUGUCAUCACCGAUGAGUAAUGUGGAAAAACCGGUAUUAACCCAAAACUACCUCAGGCUUCCUCAGUUUCCUACAACGUCCUCACCUGAGGGUGCACUGGUUAACUUAGUCAUCAGAUCUCCUGGGCUACUCUGGGUUGCAGCAGCAUCUCAGAUGUUCUCAUCAUGGACAACCGGAUACUCCAGGAGGACAGGAUGAUAACUCAUGGAACUUGCCUGCUGAUAUUUGUCUCAGAUUUGCUCCCAAAUGAUCCUGAAGGCAUCCUUAGGGGAGCAUGGCAGAGGCCAAGUGACCUUCUUUACAGGCAUUUGAGAAAUGCAAAGACUCUGGCUCUUGUAAUAGGUCCCUAGCCAGCAUCUCCUGAGUAUCUAUGUGUACAGCCUGGGCAGGGUUGGGGGUCCAGGGGAUGACCCAGGUUGGCCUAUAUCCAGAGUAUAGAUGACAGGGUUUCCUCCUGAUGAGGCACUGGCAAAAGAUUCUGGCCAGAACGGGGACCAUCUAAGCAAGCGAUGG
rnacentral:lncRNA from 1 species